AUGCCGGAGGAUCCCCUGGAAGACCAAACCUCAUCUGUCACGUUAAAUGACUUGAGUCUUGGCUACCUGACCCAAACUCCCCGGUACAAAUUAUAUGUAGCGCUAAGCCUCAAACUGCCCCGGAGCUGUCACUCCCCAGGGUGUUUUCACGUGAGCUCUGACUCGAGAGAUGGGAGCAGAAGUUGGGCCGGCAGGUUGUUCGGCGCCUCCGACAUCCCAAGGAAAACGGAGGCACAGAGAAGUCAAGCUGCACGUCCGUGGUCAUGCAAGGGCCAGGCCAACUGCUGCCCACUGUGGACACCGUGCGAGGUUACACCGCUCCGGCAAUCGCGGUGCAGGCAGCUGAUGUUUCUGCAUCAGCAGGAUUAAUCAGAUGAGCACAACCUGCAAGACAGGAGCAGGUCUUGAUGCCGGGGCUGGGCGUACUGCCGAGGUUGCUGCCGCAUGCUUGGCUUUCCUCGUGAGAAUUCGCUGGGACCCACGGAUGGCACGGCAGCGUUUUGUAAGUCCCCACUGAUGCAUCUCUUCCAAGCCUUCCUGUUCUGGCUCUUUCACAAAAAUAAAAAAAACGCCAGAUUUUCA
rnacentral:lncRNA from 1 species